GAGAAAGACUGUAUUCAAUAAUCAAGUUGGAGGCCAGACGUGGUGGCUCACACCUAUAAUCCCUACCGUUUGGGAGGCCAAGGCAAGCAGAUGGCUUGAGCCCAGGAGUUCAAGACCAGCCUUGGCAACAUGGCAAAACCCUGUCUCUAGGGGAAAAAAAAAAAAUACAAAAAUUAGCCGAGCAUGGUGGCACGUGCCUGUAGUCCCACCUCCUUGGGAGGCUGAGGUGGAAAGAUCACUUGAGCCUGGGAAUGUCAAGGCUGCAGUGAGCCAUAAUUGCACCACUGCACUCCAGGGUGACAGCGAGACCCUGU
rnacentral:lncRNA from 1 species